rnacentral:rRNA from 1 species
GAUGAACGCUCGCUACAGGCUUAACACAUGCAAGUCGCGGGGCAGCAUGGGGGUUGCUUGCCAUCCCUGAUGGCGACCGGCGCACGGGUGAGUAACGCGUAUCCAACCUGCCCUUCACCACGGGAUAACCCGGCGAAAGUCGGACUAAUACCGUAUGUUGUCCAUUGACGGCAUCCGAUUUGGACGAAAGGUUUGGCGGUGAAGGAUGGGGAUGCGUCCGAUUAGCUGGACGGCGGGGUGACGGCCCACCGUGGCGACGAUCGGUAGGGGUUCUGAGAGGAAGGUCCCCCACACUGGAACUGAGACACGGUCCAGACUCCUACGGGAGGCAGCAGUGAGGAAUAUUGGUCAAUGGGCGUAAGCCUGAACCAGCCAAGUAGCGUGCAGGAUGACGGCCCUAUGGGUUGUAAACUGCUUUUAUGCGGGGAUAAAGUGGCCCACGUGUGGGUUUUUGCAGGUACCGCAUGAAUAAGGACCGGCUAAUUCCGUG